UACGAGAGCUCCAAGCGUUAUCCGGAAUUACUGGGCGUAAAGGGUGCGUAGGUGGUGAUACUAGUCGGUUGUUAAAACCCCGGGCUUAACUCGGGAAUCGCGAACGAAACGGUAUUACUUGAGAGUGUGAGGGGUGCAUGGAACUCAUGGUGUAGGGGUGAAAUCCGUUGAUAUCAUGGGGAACACCAAAAGCGAAGGCAAUGCACUGGCACAUAUCUGACACUCAAGCACGAAAGCGUGGGUCGCGAAUGGG
rnacentral:rRNA from 1 species